GACGAACGCUGGCGGCGUGCUUAACACAUGCAAGUCGAGCGGAGCGGCGAACGGGUGAGUAACGCGUGAGUAACUGCCCCCCUCUCUGGGAUAACAGUUGGAAACGGCUGCUAAUACCGGAUAGUGGGGGAUGACUCGCGUCCUAUCAGCUUGUUGGUGGGGUAGUGGCCUACCAAGGCGACGAGGGGUAGCCGGCCUGAGAGGGUGAACGGGCACAGUGGACUGGGAAGCGGUGCAAGCUGGUGCGGGAGGGAGCAGGGGGGAAGAUGGCACAGUGGAGGGAACGCUGAGGGAGGAGGGGGGGGGAACGAGGAGGGGUUUCGAGUGGUGAAGUGCUUGGAUAUGGGAAGCGGUAGCAGAAGAAAAAGCCCCGGCUAACGACGUGCCAGCGGCGGCGGUAAUAG
rnacentral:rRNA from 1 species